rnacentral:pre_miRNA from 1 species
UGCUGCUGCUGCUGCUGAUGCUGAUGAUGAUGAUGAUGAUGAUCAUCAUCAUCAUCAUCAUCAUCAUCAUAAUCU